rnacentral:tRNA from 1 species
UGGUGUAGUGGACAACACACUUGGCUCUUAACUAAGAGGUCCGAGGUUCGAAUCCUGG